rfam:Hordeum vulgare subsp. vulgare, WGS project CAJW01000000 data, contig: morex_contig_1590134
GUAAUACUCCCUCCGUCCCAAAAUUCUUGUCCUAAAUUUGUCAAAAAAUAGUUGUAUCUAAAUAAUAAAACGUAACUAGAUACAUUAAUAUCUAGAUAAAUUUAAGAUAAGAAUUUUUGGAUAAAGGAAGUAAGAA